rnacentral:tRNA from 1 species
GCCUCGGUAGCUCAGCUGGUUAGAGCAUCACCUUGGUAAGGUGGGGGUCCCGUGUUCAAAUCACGGCCGAGGCU